rnacentral:rRNA from 1 species
CGGGAGUACAUCAGCGGCGAACGGGUGAGUAACACGUGGGUGACUUGCCCCGAAGAUGGGGAUAACCUCUGGAAACGGGGGCUAAUACCCAAUGUGCUCGGUGAUUCGGUUCAUCGAGUAAAGCUCCGGCGCUUCGGGAGAGGCCUGCGGCCCAUCAGCUAGUUGGUAGGGUAACGGCCUACCAAGGCAGAGACGGGUAGGGGGCGUGAGAGCGCGGACCCCCACACUGGCACUGAGAUACGGGCCAGACUCCUACGGGAGGCAGCAGUAAGGGAUAUUGCGCAAUGGACGAAAGUCAGACGCAGCGACGCCGCGUGGGCGAUGAAGGCCUUCGGGUUGUAAAGCCCUUUUAUGGGGGAAGAGAAAAAGGACGGUACCCCAGGAAUAAGUCCCGGCUAACUACGUGCCAGCAGCCGCGGUAAAACGUAGGGGACAAGCGUUAUCCGGAUUCACUGGGCGUAAAGAGCGUUGAGGCGGUUCCGUAAGUUGGGCGUGAAAGCUCCGGGCUUAACUCGGAGAUGUCGUUCAAUACUGCGGGGCUUGAGGACAGCAGAGGAAGGUGGAAUUCCCGGUGUAGUGGUGAAAUGCGUAGAUCUCGGGAGGAACACCCGUGGCGAAGGCGGCCUUCUGGGCUGUUCCUGACGCUGAAGGCGAAAGCUAGGGGAGCGAACGGGAUUAGAUACCCCGGUAGUCCUAGCUGUAAACGAUGGAUGCUGGGUGUGGGGGGUGUAAAUUCCCUCUGUGCCGAAGCAGACGCGUUAAGCAUCCCGCAUGGGGACUACGGCCGCAAGGUUAAAACUUCAAACGAAUUGACGG